rnacentral:rRNA from 1 species
UACGUAGGGUGCGAGCGUUAAUCGGAAUUAUUGGGCGUAAAGGGCGCGUAGGCGGCCUACUAAGUCAGACGUGAAAUCCCCCGGCUUAACCUGGGAACUGCGUCUGAUACUGGAAGGCUUGAGGAUGGGAGAGGGAUGUAGAAUUCCAGGUGUAGCGGUGAAAUGCGUAGAUAUCUGGAGGAAUACCGGUGGCGAAGGCGGCAUCCUGGACCAUUACGUGACGCUGAGGCGCGAAAGCUAGGGGAGCAAACGGG